AUCUAGCUGACGUAUCCCAAAUAGGACGAAACUCGCGUCCUGGAU
rnacentral:hammerhead_ribozyme from 1 species